rnacentral:rRNA from 1 species
AUUGAACGCUGGCGGCAGGCCUAACACAUGCAAGUCGAACGAGUGGCGGACGGGUGAGUAAUGUCUGGGAAACUGCCCGAUGGAGGGGGAUAACUACUGGAAACGGUAGCUAAUACCGCAUACCAUCGGAUGUUCCCAGAUGGGAUUGGCUAGUAGGUGGGGUAACGGCUCACCUAGGCGACGAUCGCUAGCUGGUCUGAGAGGAUGACCGGCAAAACUGGAACUGAGACAUGGUCCAGAUGCCUACGGAAGGCAGAAGGGGGGAUUAUUGCACAAUGGGCGCAAGCCUGAUGCAGCAAUGCCGGGUGUAUGAAGAGGGCCUUCGGGUUGUAAAGUACUUUCAGCGGGGAGGCGUUACUCGCAGAAGAAGCACCGGCUAACUCCGUGCCAGCAGCCGCGGUAAUAC